rnacentral:lncRNA from 1 species
CAACAAUUGCUAUCUGGAACUCGACGAAGAAGAUGUUGGAGAGAAAUUUCAAACGUUCGUCAAAGAAAGUUUAUUUAUUUGGCCAUUGAGCUCAGACUAAUCAAUCCUAUUUUGCAUAGUUCCGGCCAAUAAUCCUGACAAAAUAUUUUCUACUAAACCACCCGUCCUGCCUCUCUCUCGGUCAAAUCCUUUUGAUCACCCUGUUCUCCUUGUAGCUAUCCGCAUUCUGAUCCCGGUAUCCUCUACUAUUUAAUCAGUUCUGACGCCGUUGUUUACAAUCGACUCCCAGAUGAUAAGAAUGCUUACUUUGACUCGCUGACUGAACUUACUUUACCACUUAUAUCGAUAAACAGCAUCCCGUUUGGAAUGGAGAAACUUUGGAUGUCGGUCGAGUUACGGAUUUCUUUCCUCCCAUUCUUUUCAAAAUGUCCUCGUGUACGCCCAUGUGAAUGUGGGUGUAUUCACGAGGACAUCCUUUAUACCCUAUCCUGUCUGGUGUAAUUUAAUUCUUCAGCGGAUGGAUGGAUCAACUGUAGAUGCCUGGCUGCAUUUCCCAGGCGCCAAGCGGUUCCAGCGUCACCACCAAUAUCCACAUUU